GAUGAACGCUGGCGGCGUGCCUAAUACAUGCAAGUCGAGCGAACAGAUGCGGAGCUUGCUCCUCUGACGUUAGCGGCGGACGGGUGAGUAACACGUGGAUAACCUACCUAUAAGACUGGGAUAACUUCGGGAAACCGGAGCUAAUCCCGGAUAAUAUAUUGAACCGCAUGGUUCAAUAGUGAAAGACGGCUUUGCUGUCUCUUCUAGAUGGAUCCCCGCCGCAUUAGCUAGUUGGUAAGGUAACGGCUUACCAAGGCAACGAUGCGUAGCCGACCUGAGAGGGUGAUCGGCCACACUGGAACGUAGACACGGUCCAGACUCCUACGGUAGGCAGCAGUAGGGAAUGUUCCGCAAUGGGCGAAAGCCUGACGGAGCAACGCCGCGUGAGUGAUGAAGGUCUUCGGAUCGUAAAACUCUGUUAUUAGGUAAGAACAAAUGUGUAAGUAAAUAUGCACGUCGUGACGGUACCUAAUCAGAAAGCCACGGCUAACUACGUG
rnacentral:rRNA from 1 species